GGGCAUACUUGCUGCAUAUAUACUAAAUAUGGAAUGAUACAAAGAAGAUUUGCAUGGCCCUACACAAGGAUGACAUACAAAUUCACAAAGCGUUGCAUAUUUUU